rnacentral:rRNA from 1 species
GGUUGAUAGGGUAGGUGUGGAAGCUCCGUGAGGAGUGAAGCUAACUACUACUAAUAUGUCGAGGGCUUAACUUA